UCCUUAUUUCAACUAAUACCUCGUUAAUCAUAGGCUUAGCUAGGUCAAUCUCAACCCUAACUUUUGCAGUAGUAAGCCUCGUCUUUGAGAGGGUGGCCUUAUCCAUGAUUAGAGGCAUUCCCACUGGUUCUAAAAUCCUGCACAAAGCAGCUCGUUCAUAGUAAUGCCAGGGUAAAUCUGGAAGGUUAAUCCAGAUAGGGGCCAAGGUUGUUUCAACACCGCUUUAAACUUCUUAGUCCAUUUCUGAAUUUUCAUUAUAUGAUCCCCAAAUUGCAAGAAAGGUCUGGCAUAUACAUCCAUAUAAUCAUCCCUGUUGUCGAAAUCAAUGAACAUGUGCUGCAUAUCUUUAGCUCCAAUACGAAUUUUUCCUCUUCCAGGAAAGAUCCUUGCAAACUCAUCUCUAAUGAAUUCGAUUGAAGGUCUUGUUCGGAGGAAUUUACCAACAAUGGUCCCUUUGCAGGUAGCAGCGAGAAGCUCGUUCUCUUCCUCUGUGAAUACUACAACUGAUUUUCCUUGAACGAGCUCAUAUGGCCUCGGUACAAGUCGUAUUUGACUUCGAGUCUCUGAAGGUUGGUUUCGAAGUGCAUCUACAUAUGAGUCUUCUUGUUAAGCUACUAAUUGAGAAGCACUAGAAGUAGAGGGAACUCUCGUUUGGAUCUGUUCUGAGACUAACGAGUCAUCCUUUUUUGCACCUUUCUGCUGCAGAUCUUGUGGCCCAUGGUUCAGAUCUCCCUGAGUUUGGGGUAUUAAUAGAUUUUGUGGAAUCUGAUUGGGACCUAACGGGGUUGGAUUUGGCUGAUUUGUUGCUGUUUGAGUUGGAAAGUGGGAAACUUUGGUAUGAAGUGGGAGGCGGGACCAUCUCCCACGUGAAUUUGGUUGGUAGCCGUAUAAUUUAUUACAGGAUUAGGUAAAAGUGGUGGGUCAUUGGGGUUAACCAGAUCCACGGUGGUAGACAUUUGAAGGCUUGUACCUGAGAAGAUGUUAGAGUUCAUAAUCUUGCGAUUAGUUCUCCCUGCACCAUUCUUUUGUUGUCAUUUCUGAUAUCAAAGUGAUGUUAUUGGUGUUGGUGCCAUUGAUCAAAGUAAUCAUUUAGCCUCAUUUUUUUCACGUGGAAUGAGUACCUGGGAGAUUCCUCAUGGAUAGUUUCACCUAUUCUUGGUCUUUUGGAGGUUGGUGGGGGUCGAGUUGUAGUAUAUGGGGACUCAAACUGUUUGGACGGCAGCCAUAUGGUUACCGAUUGUUAUUGGCUUCUGAAGAAAAUAUUAGAUUUUACUAGCAGAAAUAAAAAAGAUCCUGUACUUUUCUCAGAUUCAGUUAGACAAACUAGACCAUUAUAUGUUGAUAAGAACAAGCUACCAUCGCGUAGAACAGAUGUGAAUUUUUCUAUGUAUUCUAGUGUUGUCGGAAAGGAAUUGAUCUGCGGGCGUGACUCAAGAUUUGAAAUAUGGGGAACUGAGGGUUACAAUUUAUUAGGCCAGCGGAAAGAACCGCAGAUUGCCCGCCUAUCCUGUCAAUGACUUGGGUGGAGGUCUAAAUUCUACUGUUGAAACACCGGUUUGGUUAAUAUCUAAUUCAGCUCAGAAGAAUGGUGACGAUCUCUUGAGAACAAGUACUGGGGUUCAUUCUAUAAGGAUGAUAUUGACAUGCCUCUUCUGGUUGCUAGUCACUGGUUUGUGCCGGCUACUGUUGCCAUAAUUGGUCUAUUCCUCUUAUUUUGGCGCAUGCAAAAGCGCGGGAGGAGGAAAAGAUCUAGCUCAGCUCGUUCUACUAAUUUAUAGCCCUAAUUUGACAAGGAUUGUAUUUUUAAUUUGCUCUGGCAGGUUUUGUAAUAUGAUUUAACGUGACAUGUAUUGACAAUACAAGUUAACUAAAUAUAGCAGAUUGUUAUAGGUCAAAAAACUUUAUACAUUAUCAUUGCAUAUAACA